rnacentral:rRNA from 1 species
UACGUAGGUGGCGAGCGUUGUCCGGAAUUACUGGGCGUAAAGGGCGUGUAGGCGGUUAUUUAAGUCAGACGUGAAAGCUCCAGGCUUAACCUGGGAACUGCGUUUGAAACUGGAUGACUUGAGGACCGGAGAGGGUAGUGGAAUUCCCAGUGUAGCGGUGAAAUGCGUAGAUAUUGGGAGGAACACCAGUGGCGAAGGCGACUACCUGGACGGCACCUGACGCUGAGGCGCGAAAGCUAGGGGAGCAAACGGGAUUAGAUACCCCGGUAGUCCUAGCCGUAAACGAUGGGUACUAGGUGUGGGAGGUAUCGACCCCUUCCGUGCCGCAGUAAACACAAUAAGUACCCCGCCUGGGGAGUACGGCCGCAAGGUUGAA